rnacentral:lncRNA from 1 species
GACAGGUGCCCAAGAAAUAAGGCUCAACAGAUCCUGUAAUACCACAGCAGUUGUGAGGGAACACAUGCCAGCUUGCUACACUUCAACCCCUCCUGCCAGCUGGAUGGGCUACAGCCAUCCCACUCCCCUCCUGCAGGCCUGCAGCAUGUGGGAAAAGCUGUGCAACUCUUGCUUCAAGGCUGCAAAUCUGAUAGGACUCCAAACCAAAGGUGCCAAAAGCAUACUGGUCCCUUCUCACUAGGCACUCAGCUCAUGUUUUCAAAUUUUCCUCAGCAGUGGCUAGGAACUUUUCUCUUUGGUUUCCAAACAACUUUCUCAUCACACAUUCUAGGGGGGCAGGGGAUGCUAAAAUCCAACAUUGCAAGUUCUGAUGGAGGAAACAGCUGUACUGUCACAGCCUCACCAAAUGUCUUCGUGCUUUGUGUUUGUACCAGGUGCCUGGGACUUUGCCUCUCCCACACAGCAUGUCACUGAGACAGCAGGACAUAGGUCUGAAGGUGAUCAGGAUUUUAAAUUCAAGCAUUCUUAUUCCUCAACUCCUACCAGGCUGGUGCUGGCACAGGUCACCCCUCUGGGCAAUUUCCAGCCUCUUUUUGCCAGCUCUUUCUUUCCAUCAUCUGCUCCAGUGCUGCAACUUUCCCCAGCAUGACCAGGGCAGGUAAGAGACCAGCUGCACCCCUUCCCCAGCCUGGCAAGGCAAAGCUGACAGGCUUGGACCAAAAUGCUUGCUUUUGGCUUCUUUUAGACCACAUCCAUCCAGGGCUCUGAAAGUCCUUUUUAUCCCAGAAAUAAUGCAGCCCCCAGCCCCCACCAAGCAGGAAAUGCAGCAGGAACUACCAAGCUGUCGCUUACCCAUUAGAUGAGAUAAAAACACUUUAGUGCACUCAGAUUCUAGCCCAAGCAUGGCAUUUAAUGAAUGCUCUUGUCAUUUUUCACUUUGUUGCUGGUAAUUUGGCUGUCUUUGCAUGCAGGUGGCUUACUACAAGUGGGUAACUAAAAGCCUUUCAGAUCUCCUGACCCUGCCACAUCCAGCUCCCAAAUCUCAGAA